AUCUUCUUCUUGUGGUUAAAACAAAACUAAAUGUGUUUUUUUUUUUUUUUUUUGAAAGGUCUAUGAUGUUGCUUUGUGUAUUGGAAGGCUCUUGUCAGAAUGGUCAUCUUGGAACACCCCAGGGACCUGUCUGAUCUCGUAUCCUGUCUCUGACAGAGGCAAAUACCACACGCUUUAAGCAAAGAUAAGCACUUUAUUGUGCAAUUCUCCAGCAUGAGGGAGGUAUCUUUGUGCCCCUCUGCCCUUGCAGUAGAAAACAAAGUAAACACCUCUCCAUAACUUGAUGGAGAAUACAUUUCAUUUAUGAGGAGAUGAAGCUACACAGAAUCCUAGAAAUGGCUAUAAGGCUGGAAGGGACCUCAAGAGAUCAUCUGGUCCAUUCUCUCUUCCCCCCUGCCUCCAACCCUAAUGAUGAGGCAGGAUUAAGUAUACCCUGACAGGCAUACGUUUAAGCUGUCCUUAAAAAAACCUCCAACCUCUCUAGGUAAUGGGUUCCAGCACUUAAACUUUCAAAUUCUAAGGAUAGUUUUCCUAAUAUCUAAUCUAAAUCUCUCUUGCUGCAAAUUAAGCUAGUUAAUUAUGUCCUACCCUCAGUGGACAUGAAGAACAAUUGAUCACUGUCCUAUUCAGAACAGUCUUGUCUACAUAUUUGAAGACUGUUAUCGUAUCCCCUCUCAGCCUUCUCUUUUCUAGACUAAACAUGCACAGUUCUUUCAAUCUUUUCUCAUAGUUCCAACCUCUUUUAGUUCCAAAUCAUGUUUUCUAAACCUCUUAUCGUUUUUGUUAUCCUCUCUGGACUCUCCAAUUUAGCCACGUCUUUUUUAAAAGAACGGCGCCUAAGACUGGACACGAGUCCAGCCAACGCCUCACCAGUGUUGAGUAGAGCAGAACAAUUAACUGCUAUUAGUACACCUCAGAAUGACACUUGCCUUUUUCACAAGAGCAUCACCCUGUUGACUCAUAUUCAGUGUAUGAUUCAUUAUAAUCCCUACGUCCUUUUCUGCAGUACAGCUGCCUAGCCAGUUAUUCCCCAUUUUGUGAUUGUACAUUUGAUUUGUUUCUUUGUCAGUGCAGCACUGUGCACUUGUCUUUUUAUUUAAUUUCAUCCUAUGGAUUUUAGACCAAUUCUCUGAUUUAUCAAGAUCAUUUUGAAUCCUAAUCCUGUCCUCCAUAGUGCUUGCAAUCCUUCCCAGCUUGAUUUCAUUUUCAGUUUUUUGAAGUCUACUCUCCUCUGUCGUCCAAAUCAUUAAUGAAAAUAUUGGAUAGUACCAGAUGAAAGACAGACCCCUGUGGGACCCCUCUAGAUACACCCUCUCAGUUUGACAUUGAACCAUUGAUAACUAAUGCUAAAAUUUAGUCAUGGAUAUUUUUAGUAAAAGUCAAAGACGCGUCAUUCAUAGGGCAAUGAACUAAAAUUCAUGGCCCUGUGACCUGUCCAUGACAUGUACUACAUACUCCUGACUAAAUCUAGGGUGCUCUGGGGCGCUCUGGGGGCACCGCUGGUGCCAGAACUGCUGCCAUUGCUGGAAGGGGGUGGGUAGUGGAGCUGGCCCCAGGGCCCUAGCUGCUCCAAUGGCCCUGGGGUCAGGCACAGCAGCAGGCCGCAGAAGUUCCAGAGGUCCCGGAAAGUCACAGAAUCUGUGACCUCCAGGACAGACUCGCAGCCUUAUUGAUAACUACUCUUUGAGUGUUGUCUUUCAACCAGUUGUGCAUCCACCUUACAGUAAUGCAUUUAGACCAUAUUUCCCAAGUUUACUUAUGAAAAUGUCAUAUGGGCAGAGGUGAAAGUAAGUUGGUCCGGUAUAGCGUACUGGUAAGAAAGCUGCUACGCAGCCAACCGCACUGGCAGGACCGCUGAUGGGGGCGUGGGGGUGGGGUGGGACAAAAGGAGCAGCUGCCCUGAGGCCUGGCGUUUUAAAAGGGACUGGGACUCCCAGCAGUAGCCAGAGCCCCUGGUCCUUUAAAUCGCUGCUCGAGCCCCGGGGCUCCCGGCUGCUGCUGCUGCUAUCCCAGGGCUCCAACAGUGAUUUAAAGGGCCUGGGGCUCCAGCCACUGCCACAGUAUCAGCUGGAGCCCCAGGCGGUGUGGGCUGGGCAGCGCUGAAGGGCUGGUUGCGGGAGUCUGGCCCCAGCCCCGUCCCUUCUGCCUUAGACCCUGUCCCUUCUGGGGGCCCAUAGCUGCCUCCCUAGGACCCUGGCCGCCCUGUGUACUGGUAAGUCCAUUAAGUUUCACCCCUGCAUAUGGGACGGUGUCAAAAGCCAAAAUCAUGAUUAAUACUACCCUGUAGUAUUUAGUAUGACUACAGUAGGUAGAGAACCUAAUUUCCUUGUGCAGUGAAACCCAAGAGUAUACUGACCAUGGUGGUUUAGUCACAUUUGUGCAUCACAUUAAAUUCUGGAAGAAACUGGAGGCAGUACUAAGCAGUGGCACUCUUAUUUUCAAGUUAAGCUUAGCCUCACAAAUUGUCAACCCUGUUUAUUAAGGAGGGACAGAGCAAGAUGGGGUUUAGUGCAAUACUUCCUUCCUUUUUCCUCGUCCAACUUACAUGCUUCUGUAAUGCUAUUUGUGGGGCACUAACCUCAAACCAGCAUAGUUUUGUAACAUGUACCUUUAUAAAAAGGAAUGGAAAUUUGGGAAAUGUGAAGCAGUAGAUGAUGUGUGUGCAUAUUGAAAUCUUUUUGCAUGCCACUUCAUACGCUGAUAUUACUUGCAGAAGGUGAAACGUCUGUUAAUCUUGUGGUCAAAAUACCAACUUGAUCAAUGUGGGAAUCAAAAACUAGAAGGCUGAUUCAUAGAUCAGAUUUGACUCUGUGAGCUGCUCUACGGUUCUCAGUCCUUGUAAGCGGAUGAGGAAGGUUACUACUAAUAGGGAUGUUCUUACAUCUUCAAAAGAUGAGGUGGAAAAGAGGAGCGACCCUGCCUCACUGAGUGAGCUGCUGCUGCUGCUGCGAACCAUUCUGGAUACUACUGAAAAUUUCCCCCCAUGCCCACUACAAGUAAAUAUUGCAUUUAGAGUGGGACAGUCACUAGGAGACUGAUUAGUCCAUUAUUAAAUAUUUAACGCUUAGCAUUUUAAUAGCAUUAACUAAACCUCACAAAUUAAGAGAAAAGAAAAGGAGUACUUCAUCGGAGUGAGCUGUAGCUCACGAAAGCUUAUGCUCAAAUAAAUUUGUUGGCCUCUAAGGUGCCACAGUACUUCUUUUCUUUUUGUGAAUACAGACUAACACGGCUGCUACUCUGAAACCUGAAAUUAAGAGAAGACGAGCAAGAAUUAUCUGCGUUUUACAGAUGGUGGUGACCUAUUAAAGCUACCAUGCAUGGGAGCAAGAGAGGAGAUUUUAAAAAUUCCACCUAUGAUUUAUCUCUGUAAAUUUGUGCCUAAAUAAAUAAUAGGGCUCUCCCUCUACAAAUCUAACAGGUUCCUUUGGCUGUGAUUGCCCAGUUACCUUUGUGUCUCUCAGAAAUCCAGGCUCCCAUUUCUCUUUAAUUGUGUAAACAGAAGCACAAUUGUAUCAACCAAAGGAUUCAGGUGAAAGUCAUUUGAAGCUUUUAAUUCUUGCAUUCUCCACUCUUGCAUUCCUGACCUUCAGCUACCUUAGCUAUUUCUUCACCAGAUGAGAAUGGAAGAUUUACGCAGUAUGAUAGGAGCAUGUAGGUUGCUCAGCAGCAGGCCCAAGAGUCAGUUCCUUGAGGCUCUAAAAUCUCUUUAACUAAAAGGAUUUCCCCUCUCAUCAAAUGUGUUGGUAAAACAUUACCUCAAUGAAGUGAUCUUUAAUGGCUUAAAACUUUUUUGUGGGUAUAAGAAAAGGAAGAAAUGCUCCUGUAUUUACAGGAAGGUCCCGUAAUUCUGUCGUUUGUUUCAGCUCCAUGAUGAAUUACUGAGUCUUUUUUCAGAAGGAUCCAGCAUUUCCUCCUAACACUUUCAUGUUUAACACAUAACCCAACAAUCCAGUGCUUUGCAGUGUGUGUAUUAAAUAAACCUCUCCCCAGUUUUUUGGACCUAGCACCAAGGAUACUGCUAAAAUCCACUUUUGGCACAUGAUGGAAAGAGAGAGAGCAGGAGUGCUAGUUUGAGACUUACUGCUCUAGUUAUGAUCAGUCCUCAUCUCCAUUUUAAAAUGUUACUGUGUUUGUUCACAAACAUGUUCAAUCAAAUUAGCUGACAGGAAGCUGUGAAUGCAACUGAGCAGACAGUGUAAACCAGGACAGACCAUAAUCAAACUUUACUGGGACCAGCGGAAGGCUGCUGAUUUCCUGUCAAAAGGGAGAUAAGAGAGAGAAGGGUGGAUGUUAGAGGCAAAUUGGGUACAAGUUCAGGUGCCUCUGGCUCUCUCGGCCUGCGUGCUAGCCUGCUACUUUGGGGACAGUGGCUGAAACAAACCUUUUAUACUAGGGGCCUUAAAGGGCCAGGAGAGAUUUUGCAAUUAUAUCUUGUUUUAAAAUAUACUGCAUAAUACAGGUGCUCUGCCCUGGUAGGCCAAGUCCCUUGCUUGACUAACCACUCUUCUGUCCCAUUCUCAGUAUACUUUUGAACUAGGCAGCUGGGUUAAACAUGAUUCACUCUCAAGCCCCUUCCUAGCACACAAAUAAUAAUCCUAUGUUUGUUUCUGCUUCAUCAGGAAAGGCAUUCUAGGAACAGAGACUGUUUUUUAUCACCACCAAGCACAGUGCCUGUGAAUAGAGAUCCACAAGUUCUUUUCAGAUCCAGACCAGAAAAGACAUCUUGGGAAAUAGCUCUUGGGGAAAAAUAUUCUCUGUUCCUGCAACUACAUUUCAUCUGAUCAUUUCCUCUGCUGUGAAUAAUUAGCACCUAAAUACGCCUGUCCUUAUUUCCAUUGAUAGAUGCCCAAUUUAUUUAUAUACAAGUAUUUAAAAAAGCAAGCUUGUCCAGUAACAACAAGGUCCUCGAAUCAUUCCUCAGGCUGUCAGGAUUAAUUUUCAUGUAUGUAGUAUGUUU